UACGGAGGGUGCAAGCGUUAUCCGGAUUCACUGGGCUUAAAGGGUGCGUAGGCGGGUUGGUAAGUCCGUGGUGAAAUCCCCAAGCUUAACUUGGGAACUGCCGUGGAUACUAUCAAUCUUGAAUAUCGUGGAGGUAAGCGGAAUAUGUCAUGUAGCGGUGAAAUGCGUAGAUAUGACAUAGAACACCAAUUGCGUAGGCAGCUUACUACACGAUCAUUGACGCUGAGGCACGAAAGCGUGGGGAGCAAACAGG
rnacentral:rRNA from 1 species